rnacentral:tRNA from 1 species
GGGGAUUUGGCUCAGUGGUAGAGCACUUGCCUAGCAAGCGCAAGGCCCUGGGUUCGAUCCCCAGCUCCA